rnacentral:rRNA from 1 species
CAGUAGCCGCGGUAAUACGUAGGUGGCAAGCGUUGUCCGGAAUUAUUGGGCGUAAAGGGCCCGCAGGCGGUUUCUUAAGUCUGAUGUGAAAGCCCCCGGCUCAACCGGGGGGGGUCAUUGGAAACUGGGAAACUUGAGUGCAGAAGAGGAGAGUGGAAUUCCACGUGUAGCGGUGAAAUGCGUAGAGAUGUGGAGGAACACCAGUGGCGAAGGCGACUCUCUGGUCUGUAACUGACGCUGAGGAGCGAAAGCGUGGGGAGCGAACAGGAUUAGAUACCCCCGUAGUCCCUGUCUCUUAUAC